CAGGAGUGCGAUUCCCAAAAGCAUCGUUGCUAACUACGGUAGCAACUAACAUGGUUGCAACUAUCCCAUUAUGAUGUGGUGAAGUGACUGUGCUGUGGCAGAGACUGUAGCGUGUGUGCUUUACAUGAGAGAGGUCAGGGGUUCAAGACUGAGUCGAUGGGUGUGAGGUAUGGGUAGGCCUGUCAUGGGAGGCGGAAAAAUGGCCAGCAGGAAGGUGUGCAGCAGCCACUGGAAUGACCUCUUCCACCUCCUCCACUAACAGCUCCUCAUCAGCCGGCAGUGGGAUGUGAUCCUGAAGGGCCAUGUUGCAGAAGCGCCGCCACCAAAACUACACUGCACGCCUUUGCAGGAUGGAGCUUCAGGCCACCAGCGGAUUUGCUCACACACCUUUCCACAUGCCCAGGGCCCUCUCCACAACAACGUGGGUCCGGCUAUGGGCGUUGUUGUACCGCGCCUCUGCCUCGCUGUUGGGCUCCUAGAUGGAGCA